GUUUGAUCCUGGCUCAGAUUGAACGCUGGCGGCAGGCCUAACACAUGCAAGUCGAGCGGUAGAGAGAAGCUUGCUUCUCUUGAGAGCGGCGGACGGGUGAGUAAUGCCUAGGAAUCUGCCUGGUAGUGGGGGAUAACGUUCGGAAACGGACGCUAAUACCGCAUACGUCCUACGGGAGAAAGCAGGGGACCUUCGGGCCUUGCGCUAUCAGAUGAGCCUAGGUCGGAUUAGCUAGUUGGUGGGGUAAUGGCUCACCAAGGCGACGAUCCGUAACUGGUCUGAGAGGAUGAUCAGUCACACUGGAACUGAGACACGGUCCAGACUCCUACGGGAGGCAGCAGUGGGGAAUAUUGGACAAUGGGCGAAAGCCUGAUCCAGCCAUGCCGCGUGUGUGAAGAAGGUCUUCGGAUUGUAAAGCACUUUAAGUUGGGAGGAAGGGCAGUUACCUAAUACGUGAUUGUUUUGACGUUACCGACAGAAUAAGCACCGGCUAACUCUGUGCCAGCAGCCGCGGUAAUACAGAGGGUGCAAGCGUUAAUCGGAAUUACUGGGCGUAAAGCGCGCGUAGGUGGUUUGUUAAGUUGGAUGUGAAAUCCCCGGGCUCAACCUGGGAACUGCAUUCAAAACUGACUGACUAGAGUAUGGUAGAGGGUGGUGGAAUUUCCUGUGUAGCGGUGAAAAUGCGUAGAUAUAGGAAGGAACACCAGUGGCGAAGGCGACCACCUGGACUGAUACUGACACUGAGGUGCGAAAGCGUGGGGA
rnacentral:rRNA from 1 species